rnacentral:misc_RNA from 1 species
UCAAACUUGGUCAUUUAGAGGAAGUAAAAGUCGUAACAAGGUCAUCGUAGGUGAACCUGCGGUGGGAUCAUCAAUAAUUCAAACUUUAAACCCACUUUAUGGUGUGAAUUUUAUGUUUUUUGUGAAAUAUUCCAUUUCUCUUUUGGAGUAUCUCUCUAUUCUCUUUUCCCUAUCUUCUCUUUUUAGAGGAGGAAGGGGAAAGGGGGUUGAAGAGGUACUUUUUAAAGAGAAUAGGAACAUCUGCACUUUAUUAUAAACGAGUGUCUAUAUUUUAAUGGCUAAACCCAAAACAACAGUAUUUUAUAUUUUGAUAACCGCGCUGUAAUGGCAUGGAAAUAAUUAUAUAAAACUAUUAAUGGUGGAUCACUUGGCUCUCGCAUCGAUGAAGAACGCAGC